UACGUAGGGACCGAGCGUUGUCCGGAAUCAUUGGGCGUAAAGAGCGUGUAGGCGGCCAACUAAGUCCUGCGUGAAAUCUCGGGGCUCAACCCCGAGCGGUCGUGGGAAACUGGUUGGCUAGAGUGCGGGAGAGGAGAGUGGAAUUCCUGGUGUAGCGGUGAAAUGCGCAGAUAUCAGGAGGAACACCGGUGGCGAAGGCGCCACUCUGGGCCGGUACUGACGCUGAGGAGCGAAAGCGUGGGUAGCAAACAGG
rnacentral:rRNA from 1 species